ACGGGAGGCAGCAGUAGGGAAUAUUGGACAAUGGGGGCAACCCUGAUCCAGCAAUUCCGCGUGAGUGAUGAAGGUGUUAUGCAUUGUAAAACUCUUUUGCCUGCAAAGAUAAUGACGGUAGCAGGAGAAUAAGCACCGACUAACUAUGUGCCAGCAGUCGCGGUAAUACAUAGGGUGCUAGCGUUGCUCGGAAUUACUGGGCGUAAAGUACAUGUAGGAGGAUUGGUAAGUUAAAAGUGCAAUCCCUGAGCUCAACUCGGGAACUGCUUUUAAUACUGUCAAUCUGGAGGAAGGUAGAGGACAACGGAAUUCUUGGUGGAGGGGUUAAAUCCUUAGAUAUCAAGAGGAACACCGAAAGCGAAAGCAGUUGUUUAGGCCUUUCCUGACUCUGAGAUGUGAAGGCGUGGGGAGCAAACAGGAUUAGAUACCCUGGUA
rnacentral:rRNA from 1 species